rnacentral:rRNA from 1 species
UACGUAGGUGGCAAGCGUUGUCCGGAUUUACUGGGCGUAAAGAGCGCGCAGGCGGUCGUUCAAGUCGCGUGUGAAAGCCCCCGGCUCAACUGGGGAGGGUCACGCGAUACUGAUCGACUCGAAGGCAGGAGAGGGUAGUGGAAUUCCCGGUGUAGUGGUGAAAUGCGUAGAUAUCGGGAGGAACACCAAUGGCGAAGGCAGCUCGCUGGGACGUGACUGACGCUGAGACGCGAAAGCGUGGGGAGCAAACAGG